rnacentral:lncRNA from 1 species
GUCACUAAUAUAUUCAAAAACUCACACACAGGUCGUUCAAUUUCAUGGAUAAUUGGGCGAAUUUAGUGAUACAUAAACUUUGUGAGAUAAAACAAACCUAUGGCUGCACGAAUCCUCAUACACACCCUUUUUAAGCUUGAGCGUCCUCAUUAGUUUAAGGAUCCAAAUCAGAUAAAAGCCAAUUCAAUCACAAAUACCAU